CUUGGCCUACGGCUUUAUCCAAAGAACACAAAAACCUGUAUCUGAAGAGCCACGAGGUUCCAGAUGCUAGCAUGAUGCCAAGCAGACUUCCCUGGACAGACAACCCACCAAUGUGUCCUGGAGCUCCGAUACCCCAGAACGCCGCCCCACUAGGGAAAGAGAGAGACAGACUGGGAGUAUGGAUGGACCUGUCAACACCCAUGUUCAGCGGGGAAGCAAUUACAGAAGCCAGAGUUUCAACCUUUUGCCUCCCACAAUGACCUUGGGUCCAUACUCCCAGAGGGUUAGAGAAUAGGAAAGCUAUCAAGGGAGGGGAUGGGAUACAGAGUUCUGUUGGUGGGAAUGGUGUGGAGUUGCACCUCUCUUAUCCUAUAGUUCUGUCAGUGUUUCCGUUUUAUAAAUAAAAUAAAAUAAAAUAAAAAAGAAAUGUACUCGGUCAAGCAGCCCCGGAGGUAGUGCAACAGCUAGAAUGUCAGAUUUGUACUCUCUCUGGUUGGAUCCCUGGGCAUCAUAUGAACCGAAGUAACGUUCUGGUUCUCUGCCUCUUUCUCAAUGCAGUUGUUAAAUAAUCUUUUUAAAAUAUGUGUUAUAAUAAAAAUACAUUUACUCAGUUAAA